AGGUCUGUAUGAGCUGUUGGCUGUUGUGCCAGGCCGGCUGGGGCCACGUGUGGACAGCCGGGAAGACCUGACCUUCCUCUGGGAUAUGUUUGGUGAGAAAAGCCUGCAUUCACCGGUAAAGAUCUUCACAAUAUCCUGGGUAGCCUUAUGUUGUGAGGUGGAAGUCUCUACUCUUCUGUGGCUGCUGUGGCCAAGACUUCCAAUACUGUGUUAGCAUCCUCGCCUUGUUCCUGAUGUUAAGCAGGAAGCUUUUCCCUGUUGAGCAUGAUGCUAGCUGUGCACUGGUCAUACGUGGCCUUACAUUUUGAGUAGUGCUAAGUUGCCAGUGGAAACUGCCCAUGGGCCACAUGAGAGACCACGGAUCCUGUAAUGGUGGGAGGCAUAAAGCUGGCACAGAAGUGCUGCAGAGAGGCUGUCACCAGUUAGAGGGAAGGAGCCAGAGAAGCAAGAGGUGUGGCAACAGCCAAGGGUCUUCAAAGGUAGAUGGACUGUGCACUCCCUUCCUGAAUGGGAGACCAGCACAGAGACCUUGGGGGCACGCCCUGCCCAGCCCUGCCCAGCCUCGCCCAGGCUCCAGCCGGAGGCUCCGCCCCAGGCCAUGGCCUUCCACUUGCUCACGUGACCAUGCCACAGGCAUGCAGAGAGGCAGGCUGAGCUCUGCCAGGCCAGCAGGGUCCGUGCCAGGCCUGGUGGACUUCGAGGACAAGGAGCAGGUGAAGGCCUUUCUGGAGAACGUGGUGGAGUGCAAGUACCAGUGCUACUGUGAGAAGGACCCGAAUGGACAGAAAGUUAUCUAAGCUCAAUAGUUCUGAGAAAUGUCUUCAUCUAGGAGCAUUCCCUCUGUUUCUUAGAAGUUUGAAUUUGGGAGAAAGGUUGACAAUCUGGGGGAAAAAAAAAGACGAAGCGAAAGGAACAGCAUGCUCAGGAGGGCACACACCACGCCAGUUCCCUUGCUUCUAAUGGUUAUCACGUACCAACCCAAGUGGCUGCCGCCUUAUUAAUCAUCAUAUUCAUGAAAAGCUCUACUACUAUGAGAAGUAGAACCCUGUGCCCAUCCUCCACAGCACAGCAGUCUUGGCUGAUGAUGUAAGUGUGCCUUUCGGAGCUCCCUGCCACCCGGCUCCCUUGGGCCCGGUCCUGAGCAGAGCUCUUCCUGGCGCAGACACAAGUGUGAGAUCCUGGGAGUGAAAACCAGAAGCCGCUGCAAAUGUUUCCAAAAGUCCUGUCACCGAGGACCUUAUGCGGAUACUGUGCUGAUUUGCAUUCACUCUCCUGCUCAAAAAAAUUGUGCGUGGGGAUGUCCUCUGUUCUACCUGGGUAGCUACAGUAGCAGAAGUCUGAGGCUAGAACUCUCUGGGCAGAGAGAAACUGUCGGCUACUAGUGUUCUGAGAAAGGCACAGGCAGGAGGAAUGCUUUGGAGAAAUAAAGACAAAUGAGCUAGGUCUGUUGCUGACAGUGCUAAAAACUGACAGAUACGCUAGUGUCGGAACGAGGCCUGAUGAAAUACAUAAAAAGACAGGAUUGUUUUCAAAAUGAAGUAUAAAGCAUCAUAAUGAUUUAUGGAUAUUAGACCUUUCCACAUUACCUUCAUAACCAAAGAAUAAAUGACAGAAGCAGUUAGCAUUGAUGGAGUAAUCUCCUGUAGCUAUCAUUUUAUUUUCAAUCUUGGAAUGAAUUACCUUGCUGUUCCUUGCCGUUCACUUUCAAACUCAGAUGAAUUGAAAGCACACCUGGAUAAACUGUAAAGGACACUGAGCCAGAGGAGAAAUAGGUCUCCUGUGAAGGUUGGUUUUUGUGAUCUCCUUGAGCUUAUCUGUUGCUUUCUAAAUGUUUUCCUUGUUUAUGAUUUAAAAAGGAAUGGAGUUCAGCUUAA